rnacentral:tRNA from 1 species
GCCCGUUCAGCUCAGUGGUUAGAGCGUUCCACUCGUACGCAUCGCAUUGCGAGGCAGCUUGUUAUGGAAAGGCCAACUGUUCGACUCAAUUAUCGGGCA